rnacentral:pre_miRNA from 1 species
CAAGUACUGGUCUCAGAAGAUUGUGGAGAGCACCACAGUGGUCACCACGCAGUCCGCUGAGGUUGGAGCUGC